UUUCGGAGAGUUUGAUCCUGGCUCAGGACGAACGCUGGCGGCGUGCCUAAUACAUGCAAGUCGAGCGGAUUGAUGGGAGCUUGCUCCCUGAAGUCAGCGGCGGACGGGUGAGUAACACGUGGGUAACCUGCCCGUAAGACUGGGAUAACUCCGGGAAACCGGGGCUAAUACCGGAUAGUUCUUUUCCUCGCAUGAGGAAAAGUGGAAAGGCGGCUUCGGCUGCCACUUACAGAUGGACCCGCGGCGCAUUAGCUAGUUGGUGAGGUAACGGCUCACCAAGGCAACGAUGCGUAGCCGACCUGAGAGGGUGAUCGGCCACACUGGGACUGAGACACGGCCCAGACUCCUACGGGAGGCAGCAGUAGGGAAUCUUCCGCAAUGGACGAAAGUCUGACGGAGCAACGCCGCGUGA
rnacentral:rRNA from 1 species